rnacentral:lncRNA from 1 species
AUUGCACAUCCUUAGAGAGGGAUCAUUGCACCUGAUAAGCCCCAGACUUCCUUGAGGACAAAGCUGCAGUUAGAGCCUCCCCCAUGAGUUUGCACCUUAUUAAAUCAGAAGGCGAGAACAUGUAGCCUGUGAUUUGCCUCUUCUGCAUGACAGCCAGCAAAUGUCGGAAGCCCUGUGGUCUCUCAAGUUUCACGAAAAACUAAGUCAGUGCCCUCAGAGUGAGGAGCAGAUAUCCAUUAGGAAGGGCACUUUUUA